rnacentral:piRNA from 1 species
UGGCAUUUUACAUGGUUGACCACUACCGG